rnacentral:rRNA from 1 species
GACGAACGCUGGCGGCGUGCUUAACACAUGCAAGUCGAGCGGUAAGGCCCUUUCGGGGGUACACGAGCGGCGAACGGGUGAGUAACACGUGGGUGACCUGCCCUCAGCUCUGGGAUAAGCCUGGGAAACCGGGUCUAAUACUGGAUAUGACUCCAUGACGCAUGUUGUGGGGUGGAAAGCCUUGUGCGGCUGAGGAUGGGCCCGCGGCCUAUCAGCUUGUUGGUGGGGUGAUGGCCUACCAAGGCGACGACGGGUAGCCGGCCUGAGAGGGCGACCGGCCACACUGGGACUGAGACACGGCCCAGACUCCUACGGGAGGCAGCAGUGGGGAAUCUUGCGCAAUGGGCGAAAGCCUGACGCAGCGACGCUGCGUGAGGGAUG